rnacentral:lncRNA from 1 species
CCAAAACUCUACACCAUUUCUUUAUCCAUGAGUACAUGUUAUACCGUUUGGCAAGAGUAAAUGCUUUCAAAAUACUCAAUAUGAACUAGCUUUGCUUUCAUUCUUGACUAUAUCAAAAAUUUCACUUGUAUACUGUUUGUUCUACUGUACUCUUUAGUCCGCGUUCUUCGUUCUUUUGUAUUAUAAUGUACUCUGUGCUUCCUCGCUCCUCCUUACUGUAUACAGUCCGGUUUCAAUGUGCCUUGUUAAUAAUUCAUUCGUUAUAUUCUUCACCAAUUCUCAUUCACUCAUUCGUUUAUCUAGCGACACUUAAUCUUUCUUUUUAUUUUUUCACUGAAUUUCAUAUACCUGCAUCAAAUUCUUCACUGAAAUACUCGCUCCUUGUUUACCUAUAGUACAUGUCUUCACCUAGUACAAUUCUCUUUCACAUAAAUAGCAUCUUCAACUUUCCCAUCCCUUACUCUGUAUGCACCCUUUGAAAGCCAGACUCCAUUGGAUUCCAAGAUACACCACGUUGAAAGUAAGGACCCAAUAGUCAUAUUCACAAAUUAUAGUAUAGUUAAGAAAAAUGGAAACGAAGUGUUCAUUUAGUCCCACCAACAUGGGGCAGCAUACUAUCUAAAAUUUUAGCUUAAACGAGUGGGCCCAUUUUUUCUGUAUGCACAAAGUAUGCACAUUGUUUGUUACACUCAAAUUUCUAUUAUGAAUAAACAACUCAAUUUUAUCUCAACUGUCUACUGAACUAAAUUUCUCUUUUUUCAAGUAGCAUACGGAAAUGUUCACAACGGAAUGAACGUUGAUCAUGAGCUAGACCUUACCAUCAACACCACCUUCUAAAUUAAUAGUGCUAGCUAGUGCACUCCCGCUUCCGGGCUACAGUACGGGAUGAUCAGUAUGAACGAGCUAACCUUAAUUAGUACUGUGGUUAUGGGAAGGGAAUUCCAUUGGAAGUGGAGUUUCAGUGUACUCACGUUCCUCCACUGUAAACCCCCCUUUUUUUUUCCUUCCUUGCUUUUCAUUAAUCCUCGCAAAACACCUACAAGCAUGACGUUAAAAAACGUUAAGCUUGAGGUAAGAGUCGCCAGUUUCCCUCGCAACCAUUUAUUACGUAACCCACGCUGCUAGGGAUUACGGUAGACAUGUGCGUUUCGUUACUAUAAGUUACGUAAUUCGUAAAUUGUUUUUAAAGUGUUUUAAGGAUGUGACAGGCUGAGGUUGAGGGUUUCUUGUGUUCUAGAUAUUCUUAUGCAGUCGUAGGUAGGAAGAUUGGUUAUUGUUUACCGUGUCUACUGGUAACAAACGGUUAUUAAAGAACCAAUAAUGGAUAUUUGAAAACAUCAAGGUGAAUUAUAUAAUAUAAUUUAAUAUUAUAGACAUGCCCAAAUGACUUAAAACUGGAUUGGAAAACGUAAGUUUGUAUUAAAAAUUUAACUUUGAGGAAUUCUAGAAUUCUAGUUUAUAAGGGUUUAUUUUUUUUGCUUUGGCAGUCAGACUAUGAGGAUGAAAAAUCAGCAACGAACAAUAGAAAAUAGUGUUAAUUAAUUUACGUAACCAUGA